rnacentral:snoRNA from 1 species
CUACAAAUAUUCUCACUGUUCUGAUUUUGUAAUAAUCAGGACAGGCUAAGCAUUUACUAUAUUAAGACCAUAUGUCCCAAGACUUAAUUCUUUCUUUAGGUUUUAUAAAUACCGAUGAUACAC